rnacentral:rRNA from 1 species
CAGUAGCCACGGUAAUACGUAGGGUGCAAGCGUUAAUCGGAAUUACUGGGCGUAAAGCGUGCGCAGGCGGUUUUGUAAGACAGAGGUGAAAUCCCCGGGCUCAACCUGGGAACUGCCUUUGUGACUGCAAGGCUAGAGUACGGCAGAGGGGGAUGGAAUUCCGCGUGUAGCAGUGAAAUGCGUAGAUAUGCGGAGGAACACCGAUGGCGAAGGCAAUCCCCUGGGCCUGUACUGACGCUCAUGCACGAAAGCGUGGGGAGCAAACAGGAUUAGAUACCCCCGUAGUCCCUGUCUCUUAUAC